rnacentral:rRNA from 1 species
AGAAUCAACGCUGGCGGCGUGCCUAACACAUGCAAGUCGAACGCGAAAGUGGAGCAAUCCAUGAGUAGAGUGGCAAACGGGUGAGUAACGCGUGGGCGACCUACCUUCACGUGGGGGAUAACCUUCCGAAGGAGGGCUAAUACCGCAUAACAUCCUGCUUUUAGUAUAAGCGGGUAUCAAGCCGGGGAUCGCAAGACCUGGCGCGAGAAGAGGGGCCCGCGUCCGAUUAGCUAGUUGGUGAGGUAACGGCUCACCAAGGCUCCGAUCGGUA